rnacentral:rRNA from 1 species
UCCUACGGGAGGCAGCAGUGGGGAAUUUUGGACAAUGGGCGCAAGCCUGAUCCAGCUAUUCCGCGUGUGGGAUGACGGCCCUCGGGUUGUAAACCACUUUAGUAGAGAACGAAAAGGAGCUAUCGAAUAAAUAGCUCUGCUGACGGUACUCUAAGAAUAAGCACCGGCUAACUACGUGCCAGCAGCCGCGGUAA